rnacentral:misc_RNA from 1 species
ACCUGGGCAGCCAUAACCCGUUGUCUCUCAGCGAUCAGUGUACAUUUAGCACACACGCAGUCCCGCCAACGACAGUACCGUUUGUGACCCUUCAACGCGGAAACAACGCCGUGAUUACGGCAUCUCGCACACUUCGGUGUCCUUUGAUAUCUCUCGGCACUGGCACGAAGGAAGAACGCGGCUGGUAGCACGUGAUGUUGUUGCUGCUGUUGCUGGUGUUGCAUCAAUUGACCAACGUCGACACCAAGACCGACACCCCGCGGUAACGACAUUGUUUCAAUAUCUCGUAUAUUUGGCCGCGUCAGUGGCCACACUGAAUCAUUGGUCGAUAAAGGAGGCCCACAGCGUUAAGCGGUACACGGGCUCUUCUUACUUCAACCGAAGAAAUCACAUUUAACGCUGUUCGGUAGAAACUCUCGAACCGGCACCGUACAGCGAAACGAGGAACGAGAGGACGAGAAAGAGAGAGACGGAUAUAAUAGAGUGAAAGAAGGAAGAAAGACGGAGGAAACGGUGUACCAGUUGGGCGAAGAGAGAUAGCUCUAAUAGCACGCGCACGCGCCUACACUUCCGAAAGUUCGCCGGCAGAGAAGAGCGGCGGCACCACCGCUCGUACGGGUGUCGGGGUACGAAAUGCGGAAUCGCCCCGACUCCUCUCGCAGCA